GGAUGGUUGUCCGAGCGGCCGAAGGAGCCGGUCUUGAAAACCGGUGUGCGGUGACCCCGUACCGAGGGUUCGAAUCCCUCACCAUCCGCCA
rnacentral:tRNA from 3 species